rnacentral:rRNA from 2 species
UUAAGCGACUAAGCGUACACGGUGGAUGCCCUGGCAGUCAGAGGCGAUGAAGGACGUGCUAAUCUGCGAAAAGCGACGGCGAGGUGAUAUGAACCUUUGACCCGUCGAUGUCCGAAUGGGGAAACCCAGUGUGAUUCGUCACACUAUCGUUAACUGAAUACAUAGGUUAACGAGGCGAACCGGGGGAACUGAAACAUCUAAGUACCCCGAGGAAAAGAAAUCAACCGAGAUUCCCCCAGUAGCGGCGAGCGAACGGGGAGCAGCCCGGAGUCUGAAUCAGCUUGUGUGUUAGUGGAACGGUCUGGAAAGUCCGACGGUACAGGGUGAUAGUCCCGUACACGAAAACACACUUGCUGUGAACUCGAAGAGUAGGGCGGGACACGUGGUAUCCUGUCUGAAUAUGGGGGGACCAUCCUCCAAGGCUAAAUACUCCUGACUGACCGAUAGUGAACCAGUACCGUGAGGGAAAGGCGAAAAGAACCCCGGCGAGGGGAGUGAAAAAGAACCUGAAACCGUGUACGUACAAGCAGUGGGAGCACCUUCGGGUGUGACUGCGUACCUUUUGUAUAAUGGGUCAGCGACUUAUAUUCUGUAGCAAGGUUAACCGUAUAGGGGAGCCGAAGGGAAACCGAGUCUUAACUGGGCGUUAAGUUGCAGGGUAUAGACCCGAAACCCGGUGAUCUAGCCAUGGGCAGGUUGAAGGUUGGGUAACACUAACUGGAGGACCGAACCGACUAAUGUUGAAAAAUUAGCGGAUGACCUGUGGCUGGGGGUGAAAGGCCAAUCAAACCGGGAGAUAGCUGGUUCUCCCCGAAAGCUAUUUAGGUAGCGCCUCGUGAACUCAUCUUCGGGGGUAGAGCACUGUUUCGGCUAGGGGGCCAUCCCGGCUUACCAACCCGAUGCAAACUACGAAUACCGAAGAAUGUUAUCACGGGAGACACACGGCGGGUGCUAACGUCCGUCGUGAAGAGGGAAACAACCCAGACCGCCAGCUAAGGUCCCAAAGUCAUGGUUAAGUGGGAAACGAUGUGGGAAGGCACAGACAGCCAGGAUGUUGGCUUAGAAGCAGCCAUCAUUUAAAGAAAGCGUAAUAGCUCACUGGUCGAGUCGGCCUGCGCGGAAGAUGUAACGGGGCUAAACCAUGCACCGAAGCUGCGGCAGCGACGCUUAUGCGUUGUUGGGUAGGGGAGCGUUCUGUAAGCCGUUGAAGGUGUGCUGUGAGGCAUGCUGGAGGUAUCAGAAGUGCGAAUGCUGACAUAAGUAACGAUAAAGCGGGUGAAAAGCCCGCUCGCCGGAAGACCAAGGGUUCCUGUCCAACGUUAAUCGGGGCAGGGUGAGUCGACCCCUAAGGCGAGGCCGAAAGGCGUAGUCGAUGGGAAACAGGUUAAUAUUCCUGUACUUGGUGUUACUGCGAAGGGGGGACGGAGAAGGCUAUGUCAGCCGGGCGACGGUUGUCCCGGUUUAAGCAUGUAGGCGGAGGUUCCAGGUAAAUCCGGUACCUUUUAACGCUGAGGUGUGAUGACGAGGCACUACGGUGCUGAAGUGAUAAAUGCCCUGCUUCCAGGAAAAGCCUCUAAGCAUCAGGUAACACGAAAUCGUACCCCAAACCGACACAGGUGGUCAGGUAGAGAAUACCAAGGCGCUUGAGAGAACUCGGGUGAAGGAACUAGGCAAAAUGGUGCCGUAACUUCGGGAGAAGGCACGCUGAUGUGUAGGUGAAGCCCCUGCGGGCGGAGCUGAAAUCAGUCGAAGAUACCAGCUGGCUGCAACUGUUUAUUAAAAACACAGCACUGUGCAAACACGAAAGUGGACGUAUACGGUGUGACGCCUGCCCGGUGCCGGAAGGUUAAUUGAUGGGGUUAGCGGCAACGCGAAGCUCUUGAUCGAAGCCCCGGUAAACGGCGGCCGUAACUAUAACGGUCCUAAGGUAGCGAAAUUCCUUGUCGGGUAAGUUCCGACCUGCACGAAUGGCGUAAUGAUGGCCAGGCUGUCUCCACCCGAGACUCAGUGAAAUUGAACUCGCUGUGAAGAUGCAGUGUACCCGCGGCAAGACGGAAAGACCCCGUGAACCUUUACUAUAGCUUGACACUGAACACUGGUCCUUGAUGUGUAGGAUAGGUGGGAGGCUUUGAAGCGUGGACGCCAGUCUGCGUGGAGCCAUCCUUGAAAUACCACCCUUUAAUGGCUGGUGUUCUAACGUAGACCCGUGAUCCGGGUUGCGGACAGUGUCUGGUGGGUAGUUUGACUGGGGCGGUCUCCUCCCAAAGAGUAACGGAGGAGCACGAAGGUUGGCUAAUCCUGGUCGGACAUCAGGAGGUUAGUGCAAUGGCAUAAGCCAGCUUGACUGCGAGCGUGACGGCGCGAGCAGGUGCGAAAGCAGGUCAUAGUGAUCCGGUGGUUCUGAAUGGAAGGGCCAUCGCUCAACGGAUAAAAGGUACUCCGGGGAUAACAGGCUGAUACCGCCCAAGAGUUCAUAUCGACGGCGGUGUUUGGCACCUCGAUGUCGGCUCAUCACAUCCUGGGGCUGAAGUAGGUCCCAAGGGUAUGGCUGUUCGCCAUUUAAAGUGGUACGCGAGCUGGGUUUAGAACGUCGUGAGACAGUUCGGUCCCUAUCUGCCGUGGGCGCUGGAGAAUUGAGGGGGGCUGCUCCUAGUACGAGAGGACCGGAGUGGACGCAUCACUGGUGUUCGGGUUGUCAUGCCAAUGGCACUGCCCGGUAGCUAAAUGCGGAAGAGAUAAGUGCUGAAAGCAUCUAAGCACGAAACUUGCCCCGAGAUGAGUUCUCCCUGAGACUUUAAGUCUCCUGAAGGAACGUUGAAGACGACGACGUUGAUAGGUCGGGUGUGUAAGCGCAGCGAUGCGUUGAGCUAACCGAUACUAAUGAACCGUGAGGCUUAACCUU